rnacentral:rRNA from 1 species
AUUGAACGCUGGCGGCAGGCCUAACACAUGCAAGUCGAACGGUAACAGGAAGAAGCUUGCUUCUUUGCUGACGAGUGGCGGACGGGUGAGUAAUGUCUGGGAAACUGCCUGAUGGAGGGGGAUAACUACUGGAAACGGUAGCUAAUACCGCAUAAUGUCGCAAGACCAAAGAGGGGGACCUUCGGGCCUCUUGCCAUCGGAUGUGCCCAGAUGGGAUUAGCUAGUAGGUGGGGUAACGGCUCACCUAGGCGACGAUCCCUAGCUGGUCUGAGAGGAUGACCAGCCACACUGGAACUGAGACACGGUCCAGACUCCUACGGGAGGCAGCAGUGGGGAAUAUUGCACAAUGGGCGCAAGCCUGAUGCAGCUAUGCCGCGUGUAUGAAGAAGGCCUUCGGGUUGUAAAGUACUUUCAGAGGGGAGGAAGGGAGUAAAGUUAAUACCUUUGCUCAUUGACGUUACCCGCAGAAGAAGCACCGGCUAACUCCGUG